CUGAAGGCAGAUUUUAGGGAUUUUAGUGCACCUGUCACUCAAGCAGUGUACGCUGUACCCACUCAAUAUGUAGUCUUUUAUCCCUCACCCCACUCCCAGC